rnacentral:rRNA from 1 species
AGAGUUUGAUCAUGGCUCAGGAUGAACGCUGGCGGCGUGCCUAACACAUGCAAGUCGAACGAGGUCCAUCCUUCGGGAGAAGACCUAGUGGCGAACGGGUGAGUAACACGUGAGGAACCUGCCCCGAAGACCGGGAUAACCCUCCGAAAGGAGAGCUAAUACCGGAUACCCCCACCGAACCGCAUGGUUUGGUGAGGAAAUGGAUUCCGCUUCGGGAGGGCCUCGCGGCCUAUCAGCUAGUUGGUGGGGGUAAACGGCCCACCAAGGGCAUCGACGGGUAGCUGGUCUGAGAGGACGAUCAGCCACACUGGGACUGAGACACGGCCCAGACUCCUACGGGAGGCAGCAGUGGGGAAUCUUGCGCAAUGGGCGAAAGCCUGACGCAGCAACGCCGCGUGGGGAUGAAGGCUCUCGGGUUGUAAACCCCUUUCAGCAGGGACGAAUCAAGACGGUACCUGCAGAAGAAGCCCCGGCUAACUACGUG